GACGAACGCUGGCGGCGUGCUUAACACAUGCAAGUCGAACGGAAAGGCCCUGCUUUUUUGGUGUGCUCGAGUGGCGAACGGGUGUGUAACACGUGUGUAACCUGCCCUUGACUUUGGGAUAACUUCAGGAAACUGGGGCUAAUACCGGAUAGGAGCUCCUGCUGCAUGGUGGGGUUUGGAAAGUUUCGGCGGUUGGGGAUGGACUCGCGGCUUAUCAGCUUGUUGGUGGGGUAGUGGCUUACCAAGGCGUUGACGGGUAGCCGGCCUGAGAGGGUGACCGGCCACAUUGGGACUGAGAUACGGCCCAGACUCCUACGGGAGGCAGCAGUGGGGAAUAUUGCACAAUGGGCGGAAGCCUGAUGCAGCAACGCCGCGUGCGGGAUGACGGCCUUCGGGUUGUAAACCGCUUUCGCCUGUGACGAAGCGUGAGUGACGGUAAUGGGUAAAGAAGCACCGGCUAACUACGUG
rnacentral:rRNA from 1 species